rnacentral:lncRNA from 1 species
UAUAAUCUUAGAUAAAUGAAUUAGUUUCCCAUCAAGUCACACAUCAUCAUUGAAUAAAGUUUAAACAAUAAAAACAAACUAAGAAAAUAAAAGAGUAAUAAAAAAGAAUAAACUCAACAAUUAUAAUCUUGAUCUUCCAAGUCUUCUUGAAUCCUUCAAAAUCUUCUCAGCUUCAAUGACUUUGUAACUUAACUCUCAACUUUCAAUCCGGU